rnacentral:rRNA from 1 species
ACGAACGCUGGCGGCGUGCUUAACACAUGCAAGUCGAACGGAAAGGCCCUGCUUUUGUGGGGUGCUCGAGUGGCGAACGGGUGAGUAACACGUGAGUAACCUGCCCUUGACUUUGGGAUAACUUCGGGAAACUGGGGCUAAUACCGGAUAGGAGCUCCUGCCGCAUGGUGGGGGUUGGAAAGUUUCGGCGGUUGGGGAUGGACUCGCGGCUUAUCAGCUUGUUGGUGGGGUAGUGGCUUACCAAGGCUUUGACGGGUAGCCGGCCUGAGAGGGUGACCGGCCACAUUGGGACUGAGAUACGGCCCAGACUCCUACGGGAGGCAGCAGUGGGGAAUAUUGCACAAUGGGCGGAAGCCUGAUGCAGCAACGCCGCGUGCGGGAUGACGGCCUUCGGGUUGUAAACCGCUUUCGCCUGUGACGAAGCGUGAGUGACGGUAAUGGGUAAAGAAGCACCGGCUAACUACGUG